AGAAUCAACGCUGGCGGCGUGCCUAACACAUGCAAGUCGCACGAGAAAGUGGAGCAAUCCACGAGUAAAGUGGCGCACGGGUGAGUAACACGUGAAUGAUCUACCUCCGAGUGGGGAAUAACUGAGAGAAAUCUUAGCUAAUACCGCAUAAUACCCACGGGUCAAAGCAGCAAUGCGCUUGGAGAGGAGUUCGCGGCCGAUUAGCUAGUUGGCGGGGUAAUGGCCCACCAAGGCGAUGAUCGGUA
rnacentral:rRNA from 1 species